GGCAGCCGGAUCCCAGCUGGAACUCCGCCACAUCCCAGGAAUGUGAAUACCAGUGGAAUCCGGAUAGGACGGUGUGACCCAGGCACAGUGGCUCCCAGGGGACGCCAAUGCUGCGGGCUGAGGCCCACGCUGGAGGAACACCGGCCAGUGGGCAGCUUUGGGUGAACUUCAGAGUGGGUGGAAGCGCAGCUGCCCCGCCUGCCCCCACGGCUGCUGCGCGAUCAGGAAACACAGCACACUCCUAAGUGAGUCGUCACCAUGGUGACUUUUGGAUUCCCACUGCCAGUUCCUGUGGAGUCAGAGAGAUCUUAGCUCAGAAGUGCUGACAGCAGGGGCUGGCUGGCCACUGGCCACAUGGGAAGAGGAGAAAGGCAGCAGGAGCCACCGUGAGGCAAAUGAGCUACAAGACGCCGCUCCGUCUGAUUUCCCGCCACAGCUCCCAACACAGGUGAAAUGGCUCAGAACAGCUCAGCAUGUCCUACUGAGGGGCAGGAAGGAUGCUGAGAAAAUCCCAGGCAGCGGUCUCAGCUGGGAUGUAAUUUGAGGGCGAAAAAGUUGUGUUGCUUGCGGUUUCUUCCUUGCUCCUUGCAGGUUAUAUUUGAAAUGAAUGUCAGAGCCAUGCGGCCGCUGCCAACUAAUUCCCAGCUAAGAAGGUAAACACCAGCAUCACCUGGGUCUUCUGGUCUACCUGAUUCUGCAGCUCAGAGGGAACCAUGCAGCUGGCAAAAAUGACAGCGAGGGCAGGACUAUGACCCAAUUAAAGGAAUGUGAGUUAAAACAUGGGGAGCCAAACACCCAAAUUCCAGCCUGAUCCUAACUGUAUGUAGGCAUUAAACCCUUAUGCUGUCAUUCCCACCACCG
rnacentral:lncRNA from 1 species